rnacentral:rRNA from 1 species
GGUCAAGCUACAAAGGGCACAUGGCGAAUGCCUUGGCAUCAAGAGCCGACGAAGGACGCGAUAAGCUGCGAUAAGCUUCGGGUAGCCGCAAAUAGGCUGUGAACCGAAGAUUUCCGAAUGAGGAAACUCACAUGGGUAAACCCCAUGUAUUGUAUACUGAAUAAAUAGGUAUAUAAGGGUACACCCAGGGAACUGAAACAUCUAAGUACCUGGAGGAAGAGAAAGAAAAUUCGAUUUCCUAAGUAGCGGCGAGCGAAAGGGAAAGAGCCCAAACCAGAAAUUUAUUUCUGGGGUUGUGGACAGAUCAUUAAUAUGGCGGUAUUUUAGUCGAAUACAACUGGAAAGUUGAGCCACAGCGUGUAAUAGCCACGUAGACGAAAGAAGAAGGCCUAAGAUCUGAUCCAGAGUACCACGAGACACGUGAAACCUUGUGGGAAGCAGGGAGGACCACCUCCCAAGGCUAAAUACUACUUGAUGACCGAUAGUGAAGAAGUACCGUGAGGGAAAGGUGAAAAGAACCCCGGAAGGGGAGUGAAAUAGAACCUGAAACCGUGUGCCUACAACCGGUCAAAGCACCUUAUGUGUGUGAUGACGUGCUUUUUGUAGAACGAGCCAACGAGUUACGAUAUGUAGCGAGGUUAAGUACUUAAGGUACGGAGCCGAAGGGAAACCGAGUCUUAAUAGGGCAAAUAGUUGCAUGUCGUAGACCCGAAACCGGGUGACCUAUCCAUGGCCAGGUUGAAGCAGAAGUAAAAUUCUGUGGAGGACCGAACCAAAUUGGUGUUGAAAAACCAUGGGAUGAGCUGUGGAUAGCGGAGAAAUUCCAAUCGAACCCGGAGAUAGCUGGUUCUCCUCGAAAUAGCUUUAGGGCUAGCGUCGGAUAUGAGUAGUGGAGGUAGAGCACUGAAUGGGCUAGGGGCCGUAUAGGUUACCAAACUCUAUCAAACUCCGAAUGCCACAUACUAUUAGUCCGGCAGUCAGACUGCGAGUGAUAAGGCCCGUAGUCAAAAGGGAAACAGCCCAGACCAUCAGCUAAGGUCCCAAAGUAUAGAUUAAGUGGAAAAGGAUGUGGGAUUUCAAAGACAACUAGGAUGUUGGCUUAGAAGCAGCCACUCAUUAAAAGAGUGCGUAAUAGCUCACUAGUCGAGAGAUCCCGCGCCGAAGAUGUUCGGGGCUAAAAUCUAUCACCGAAGCUAUGGGUGUACAUUUAUGUACGCGGUAGAGGAGCGUCCUGUACUGGCUGAAGUCGUACCGAAAGGAGCGGUGGACGGUACAGGAGUGAGAAUGUUGGCAUAAGUAGCGAGAACUAGGUGAGAAUCCUAGUGGUCGAAAAUCUAAGGUUUCCUGGGGAAGGUUCGUCCGCCCAGGGUUAGUCGGGACCUAAGCCGAGGCCGAAAGGCGUAGGCGAUGGACAAUCGGUUGAUAUUCCGAUACCACUAUGUAGCGUUAUUACCAAUGGGGUGACGCAGGAGGAUAAGAUGUGCUAGCUAUUGGAUGCUAGUCUAAGCACUUAGGGAGUCUG